rnacentral:lncRNA from 1 species
AUGCCUCAUCCUAAGGCCUUGUGAUGGCACGCUUUAGUCAACUCCCUAGUGCAUGGAAGACUUAUACAUCGCUUAAUUGGCAUUCUACUCAGUGUCUUCUUCAGCUGCUAUGGAUUUUAUUGCUAUUGUGCUGUCUGUAUGGGGAUGCAAGACAGACUUCUCAGCAGCUCUUAGUUCCCCACACCAAAAUGCUCCAGCAAGUUCCCACUGUCAAUCUGGGAAUUCAAGAAUAUUUCCAACUCCAGUCUCAAGAUAUAACCUUGAAGCAAACUGCAGAAAUUUUUUCCCCUCCUCAGUCUUAAUAUAUAGCUUUGAAACAUACCAAGAGUCUUUGUUCCCCCGCCAUUUCCCACCGUACACUCCCUUACGUCACAUACAUUUAUCUGACUGUAGGCUUGUAUCUAAAUAUGUGCUUACUUAGAAGUUCUAGGGACUAAUUUUGAGACAGAUUACAGGCAUGGAAACCCAGCUGCAAAAUUCCAGAGAUUACCUCAAAGCAGUUAGUCAACAACCCGGCCAUUGUGGGGAUGAUGCCAGCCCAUGCUCCAGGUGGACCAUGACUCAAGAUAGCCACCAGAACGAGACGCACGGACCUGUACCCAGCACCACUCCUUGCAUGCCACCCACUGCAAGUUCCCUUUGUAAGCCCCUCUCCCCAGGCUAAAGUUUGAAAUGGUUCCUUUAAGGCACAAGCCAUGGCCACUUCUCCAGUGCUAGCUCUGGAAUAAAGCUUCUUUCUUUUCACUGCAUC